rnacentral:rRNA from 1 species
GACGAACGCUGGCGGCGUGAUUACCACAUGCAAGUCGAGCGGAGCGGCGGACGGGUGAGUAAUGCCUAGGAAUCUGCCUGGUAGUGGGGGAAAACGUCCGGAAACGGGCGCUAAUACCGCAUACUAUCAGAUGAGCCUAGGUCGGAUUAGCUAGUUGGUGUGGUAAAGGCCUACCAAGGCGACGAUCCGUAACUGGUCUGAGAGGAUGAUCAGUCACACUUGAACUGAGACACGGUCCAGACUCCUACGGUAUGCAGCAGUGGGGAAUAUUGGCCAAUGGACGAAAGCCUGAUCCAGCCAUUUCGCGUGUGUGAAGAAGGUCUUCGGUUUGUAAAGCGCUUUAGGUUGGGAGGCGUUACCAACAGAAUAAGCACCGGCUAACUUCGUGCCAGCAGCCGCGGUAAUAC